rnacentral:tRNA from 3 species
AAGUGAUUAGUCUAAUAAAAACAUUUGAUUUCGGCUCAAACACUUAUGGUUAAAACCCAUAAUCACCUA